GCGGAGCUGGUCCCAUUGUGCUGCGGCUCCGUGCGGCCUGCAGUCCCGGGCCGGCGCCCCACGCUGCCCGCCCACCCGCCAUGGAGUCCGGCCCCGACAGCCCAGCCGCCUCCGGCCCCACUGCCAUCCGCGAGGGCUGGUUCUGCGAGACCUGCAGCCUGUGGCCUGGCCAGGCCCUGUCACUGCAGGUGGAGCAGCUGCUCCACCACCGGCGAUCGCGCUACCAGGACAUCCUAGUCUUCCGCAGUAAGACCUAUGGCAACGUGCUGGUGUUGGACGGUGUCAUCCAAUGCACAGAGAGGGAUGAGUUCUCCUACCACAAGAUAAUCAACCUGCCUCUCUGCAGCCACCCCAACCCGCGAAAGGUGCUGAUCAUCGGGGGCGGAGACGGAGGCUUCCUGCGCGAGGUGGUGAAGCACCCCUCCAUGGAGUCCGUGGUCCAGUGUGAGAUCCACGAGGAUGUCAUCCAAAUCUCCAAGAAGUUCCUGCCAGGGAUGGCCAUUGGCUAUUCUAGCUCGAAGCUGACCCUACACGUGGGUGAUGGUUUUGAGUUCAUGAAACAGAAUCAGGACGCCUUUGAUGUGAUCAUCACUGACUCCUCAGACCCCAUGGGCCCCACCGAAAGUCUCUUCAAAGAGUCCUAUUACCAGCUCAUGAAGACGGCCCUCAAAGAACAUGGCGUCCUCUGCUGCCAGGGUGAGUGCCAGUGGCUGCACCUGGACCUCAUCAAGGAGAUAUAGACAUUUACAG